AGAGUUUGAUCCUGGCUCAGGAUGAACGCUAGCGACAGGCCUAACACAUGCAAGUCGAGGGGCAUCAUGGUAUCAGCUUGCUGAUACCGAUGGCGACCGGCGCACGGGUGAGUAACGCGUAUGUAAUCUGCCUGUAACAGAGGGAUAACCCGGAGAAAUCCGGCCUAAUACCUCAUAAUACAUAUUAUUCGCAUGAGUUUUAUGUUAAAGAAAUUCGGUUACAGAUGAACAUGCGUUCCAUUAGCUGGUUGGCGGGGUAACGGCCCACCAAGGCGACGAUGGAUAGGGGUUCUGAGAGGAAGGUCCCCCACACUGGUACUGAGACACGGACCAGACUCCUACGGGAGGCAGCAGUGAGGAAUAUUGGUCAAUGGGCGAGAGCCUGAACCAGCCAAGUCGCGUGGAGGAAGACUGCCCUACGGGUUGUAAACUCCUUUUACCUGGGAAUAACGGGCGUUACGAGUAACGCCGUGCAAGUACCAGGAGAAUAAGCAUCGGCUAAUUCCGUGCCAGCAGCCGCGGUAAUACGGAAGAUGCGAGCGUUAUCCGGAUUUAUUGGGUUUAAAGGGAGCGUAGGCGGGCUUUUAAGUCAGCGGUCAAAUGUCACGGCUCAACCGUGGCCAGCCGUUGAAACUGCAAGCCUUGAGUCUGCACAGGGCACAUGGAAUUCGUGGUGUAGCGGUGAAAUGCUUAGAUAUCACGAAGAACUCCGAUCGCGAAGGCAUUGUGCCGGGGCAUAACUGACGCUGAGGCUCGAAAGUGCGGGUAUCAAACAGGAUUAGAUACCCUGGUAGUCCGCACGGUAAACGAUGAAUGCUCGCUAUGGGCGAUAUAUUGUCCGUGGCCAAGCGAAAGCGUUAAGCAUUCCACCUGGGGAGUACGCCGGCAACGGUGAAACUCAAAGGAAUUGACGGGGGCCCGCACAAGCGGAGGAACAUGU
rnacentral:rRNA from 1 species